UACGAAGGGGGCUAGCGUUGUUCGGAAUCACUGGGCGUAAAGCGCACGUAGGCGGACCUUCAAGUCAGGGGUGAAAUCCCGGGGCUCAACCUCGGAACUGCCUUUGAUACUGUUGGUCUUGAAUCCGGUAGAGGUGGGUGGAAUUCCUAGUGUAGAGGUGAAAUUCGUAGAUAUUAGGAAGAACACCGGUGGCGAAGGCGGCCCACUGGACCGGUAUUGACGCUGAGACGCGAAAGCGUGGGGAGCGAACAGG
rnacentral:rRNA from 1 species